UAGGUCAUGGUAGUUUAUAGACAAGCUGCAUCAGAGGAAAUGUGAAGAACUGGUAAGGAUUUGACCUGAUGCACAGAAGCUUUUUAGAAGUCCUGGUGUAUCCUCAGCUGCCUGAGUCAACGUGAGCUUUGUUCCUGACCUUGGUGAACUCAGGACUUCACUGUUGUGUACAUUUGCUGCCUAACAGGUGUAAAAGUCACUCCCCAGCAGGACAGAUUUAUUGCAGCACGUUGUGUUGGCUCUCCUGUUGGAAGCACUGUCAGAGCCCUGUGAGGAUCCCAGUCUGAGUGCUGGCCCUGGCUGUGUGCAGAUUGCACGUGGAGUUCAGCUACCAGAUGGGGGACACUAAAUCGGCUUUGUCUCACCAAGAGCUGGCAGACAGAGCACUGCUGUUGCUGGCAGCCAGAGAAAUACUGAAAAUUGCUCAAUCAACAUAAUUCACGAAGCUUUGUGGCGGGUCUGUGGCUCCAUGGGCUGGUAUGGGAGCACCAGGUCAGAAAGAGCUGUGCAAACCUGUGCUCUUUGACUUGGAGGAUGCAUGCAGCCUCCUGCUGCUGCCCAGCACAAUGGCUCUUGGAGAGGUGUUUUCUAAGGGACAAUACUGUAAGCAGUGUUUCUACCCAGUAAUUACUGCUUUGUUUGCUGAGAGGGGUCAUGGCUAAGAGCUGUGUCCCUGAUCUCUUUUAUGAUGUUGUCCUCUGAGGACCAUGGAGUCACUGGGCUCCCCCUGCCCUACCCACACCAUCCCUGCUUGCCAUAAACUGCAGGCUCAAGGUGAGGGGGAAAACAGCAAACAAGUGUAAAUCUUUAUAGGCAGAGCUGAGCAAAUAAUCAGGCAAAUCUUCUCAAUCGUUCCUUCAAACAGAAAAAGGUUUAAUCUCUGGAAAUGUGACCAAAUAGAUGUAGGCCAAACACUGACUGAAAUUAGGGGGAAAAAAAAUAUUUUUGUGUAAGCAAAGAAUAACACUGUGCAGUAACAGCGUGUCAUUCAGCAGAGACAAAUGAUGCAUUUUGACAAGAAACACCAGAACUUUGUAGAAAGAAAGAGAAAAUGGACGGCCUCAUUGCCCGUAUUUUUGUGGGUCAAACAUGCUGUGAAUAAUAUUUUUGUAAUUUUGGAUGUGUAUUCUGAGCAAUGAGAUUGUUAAAGGAAGGAAUUUAUGUAAGUGCAGGCAUGUAGAAGUCUGCCUGAUUGUGGAUCAGAUGAAUCACAUUCUGAACUG
rnacentral:lncRNA from 7 species